GACGAACGCUGGCGGCGUGCCUAAUACAUGCAAGUAGAACGCACAGUUUAUACCUUAGCUUGCUACACCAUAAACUGUGAGUUGCGAACGGGUGAGUAACGCGUAGGUAACCUGCCUGGUAGCUGGGGAUAACUAUUGGAAACGAUAGCUAAUACCGCAUAAUAUUGAUUAUUGCAUGAUAAUUGAUUGCAAGAUGCUAUUGCAUCACUACCAGUUGGACCUGCGUUGUAUUAGCUAGUAGGUGAGGUAACGGCUCACCUAGGCGACGAUACAUAGCCGACCGGAGAGGGUGAUCGGCCACACUGGGACUGAGACACGGCACAGACGCAUAGGGGAGGCAGCAGUAGGGAAACGUCGGGAAUGGACGAAAGUCUGACCGAGCAACGCCGAGGGAGUGAAGAAGGUUUUCGGAUCGUAAAGCUCUGUUGUAAGAGAAGAAAGGGUGUGAGAGUGGAAAGUUCACACUGUGACGGUAUCUGACCAGAAAGGGACGGCUAACUACGUG
rnacentral:rRNA from 1 species